UGGAACUUUAAGGGAAAAACAGCUAUCCCAAAACUUACAAUAAAAUCAUAACGGUUGGCAAAACUGCUGAUCAAGAACAACAGUGGCAGCCUUUACUUCUUGAAGCAGAUUGUCUUGGAUGCUGCACCGAAGACGAGGCGAUCCACAGCCGAGCUUGGGAAAGGGAGUUCAUUACCUGGUUCCAUAUGUUUGGGUUUGAUGGUUUCACUUGAAAAAAGCCAGUUUUCUGCUAAAUCGGUUUUAGAAGCAAAGUGAUCAGUUGUCUCCAUUAAGGUGCCAAUUAAAUGCAUGGCUUCCAGUAAGAGAAGACCAAUAAUUCUUCCUUAAAUUUCUGGGAAAUUACAGUAAACGUAUAUAGCAGUUUCUAAUUGCAGUGCAUUACCAUGACAUCCAUGCCUAGCUGUAUUUAUCCUUUCCCCAUCAGUAGCACCUAAAGACCCAAACCCAGCAUCCCAUGGUGCUAAGUGGCAUAACACAUAAUGAGAGACAAUUCCAAGCUCCAAGCACCUGCAUUCUGAAUAGCCAGGACAGACAAGGCAUUGUCAUCCCAUUUUACAGGUGGGGGACGGAAGCUCAAGUGAUUAAGUGAUUUUCUCAGGUCACAC